rnacentral:tRNA from 36 species
GCCGCUAUGGUGAAAUCGGUAGACA